rnacentral:rRNA from 1 species
UACGGAGGGUUCAAGCGUUAUCCGGAUUCACUGGGUUUAAAGGGUGCGUAGGCGGACAUGUAAGUCCGUGGUGAAAUCUCUAAGCUUAACUUGGAAACUGCCAUGGAUACUAUAUGUCUUGAAUGCUGUGGAGGUUAGCGGAAUAUGUCAUGUAGCGGUGAAAUGCAUAGAUAUGACAUAGAACACCAAUUGCGAAGGCAGCUGGCUACACAAAUAUUGACGCUGAGGCACGAAAGCGUGGGGAGCAAACAGG